UCCUGUCCUUUUUGUAAUUUAGGCAGGAAAGGAACAAGACAUUGCAGGGAGCUUUUUCAUUGUCCAACAUCACCCUUCUGUGAAGACCUAACCAGCAAGGUAAUGAAGCAAGUGGCUUACUCCCCAUCCCCAGCAUGGUCAUAACCUGACAAUUUAUCAUAUGCUUAUUUGUUUAUUUUCUGUCUCCUUGGGAUCAAGUCAGGGCGGGGGAGAUGGAAUUUUUCGGUUGGCUGUAUUCUCAGUGCCGAGAACAGUACCUGACACAUAGAUAGCUCUCAACAAUACUUCCUGAAUGAAUUCAGUUCCUUUUUAAGCCAAACCUGUCAGACAGUUCCAGGGAUGGCCAGGGUGUGUGAACCACAAAAGCCAACACUUGAAUUCCUAUUUGAGCAGGAACGCUUUAAAAGGACGUUAUAAAAUCUAGGUUCUUCAUUCUGGAAGAAGACGCCAGUAGAACUCUUCUGUGGUGACAGGUCUUCAAGAAAUAACUCAGACAUUGGAGCAUCUUCUUCAUCACGGGUGUGUGUGUGGACAGAUAAAUAGAGUCAUCGUGUUCUGAACUGGUGACAUCUAAUGGCAACUUGAAUGAGGGAAAAAGGACUGCAAAUAUCUGGGUGAAGAGCAACCAAAGCUGAAGAAACAACAAGUGCAAAGGCACUGGGGCCAUGGUCAACCUUCAAGGCCCAGUUCAAACACCAACGUCUUCAAAUAUCUUUCCUGACCCCCUCAGAUGGAGGACCUCAUCUCCCUCAAAAAAUUAAAAAGCAAAAAAAAUGACUGAACAAACAAGAACACAGGCCUAGAGGCUCAAUACCCACAAGAGUCAAAGCCACACAAGUCAGUUUAUCUUGGUCCUGAUUGAUGUUCUCAAACUUCUCUAAAGAGCUUUUACUGACAGUUCCCUUCCAGAGUCUUCUCAGGAUCCCUCGGAUCCCCCCAGAAUGCUACAAACUGGAAUAAAGUUUCCUCCCCUGGUCAUCCCCAGGCAUGUCCAAGGAAUCUCUGUCCAAGUUAAUCACAGGCUCAUCUGUGUGACACACAUACAACAUCCAGGAUAAGUCAGUCUCUGGGUGACGGUAGCUGUGUUCAAGGCUUUCUGGAAGCUUACGCGGUAUCUAACCCUACUUACCACAUAUCCUUUCCACUACCACCUGCAGGCUGGACUAAAGCAUCCCAGGAUCAAGAGAGAAGGGCCCACAAGGAGCAAAGCAAACAGGCUUUGCACUCACUUGUGACCAGAGGACACACAAGCUGCAAAUGUACAGACCAGGAGACUAUUCUCUGCUCUGGGUUUUUCUGCUGUAAACGUCCUGCCUCUGUAGCAACCUUUUAUGCCCUGUACGAGCAUAGCCCAGCUUUCAAUUGUCCUUCAUACUCCCCUACAGUGGCUGUGGGAGAGAAACAGAGAUGGUCACCCCCACUAAUGCGGGUGUCAUGAUGGUGAGAUGCGUGUGGGGCUGGAAUGCUAGGACAGGCCACAUAGCCUUGGGAAAGGAGUCCUUUCCCCCAAGGAAGGUAGAAGUCAGUGUUCCUAUCUGCUGCUAUGUCGAUGCUAUUUUGGGAGUAAGGAUAAGAAGGGAAAGGAAGAGGAAAGAGAAGAGGAAAGAGACUCGAAGUAAAUUAUUCGUCAUCAAUAAAAGUGUAUCAGUCAACCAUUAAAUGUUAGGUAUUAUGCAAGGCACUGCAGAAGUUGAGAAUAAGGGCAAGAGGGAAGGUGAAAGAAAAUGCCAAGAAGUAGGAACAGAAAUCUCUAGAUGAGACGCACAUCACACGAUUACUGUCAACGGAGCAAGAGGUCACCUGCAGACACUCACUGGUAUGACAAAAUGAAAGUGGAUUCUUUCCCCCCAGUAUAAGGGAGGCAGUACCUAAAAAUACCAAUAGCUAUUCAUACCAAUUUAUCUCCAUCCUCAAAGCGAAAGGUUUUUCUAUAAACAAAGUUCUAGAUUUUCAGAAAAUUUCUGCCUUUGGAGCCUCUAAAAUAGCUUAUCAAGUGAUAAACAGCCCAGGUAAAAACAACAAGGCCCUUUCUGAAGAAGCUAAAGUGGGGGAAAACCAAGAACAGUGCACGGGUAGUGGUUUAGAACAAUCCAGACUUCUUCAAUGCUUUCUAAUGACCUCAUUGGGCGCCUAAACAUGUUUUUAUACAAAGUUAAUGACUUUAUCUUUAAGACCAAACAGUGAGGCCAUUUGCCUACUUCUGCACGGCCAGCAGUGGAGUCAGAUGACAUCACGGCCCCCAGAGGGCAUUCUUGGCUGAGCCAGGACCAGCCUGGGGGCCAUGGUGCCCUCAGGGAUGAAGACCACAGGCGGAGGAAGGGCUUCUACCUUGCAGUCCAACCUUCUCCAUUUGCAAGGGCCACAGGUACCUGCCUCAUUUAAUGAGGCAUAUUCAAGGGAAGACACAUAUCGUAUCCUAUUUUCUAGGAUAAUCCCCCCGCCCCUGCAACCUCCCUGGUUCACUUCUCAAGGCUGAGCGCUCAGAUCAACUGUCCGCAGGGCAGGCUUGCAAGAGCUGGCGCUCUCAGACACAGCGGCUCCAUCCUUGGCCGGGAACAGUCACCCACUGGAGCAGAGCCCUCUCCCCACUGUAGGCGGCGCCUCCCACAGGGGAAGAGAAAACAGCUGGAGAGGGUUGUGCCCUGAUUAGUAGGUGAAGCACAUCUACGAAUGAUUAAGCGCAUUUAUUUUCUUUACUGCUGGAAAACGGUGGGGUUAUUCCACCAACAUCUUGUCCUUGUUACCACUCACUAGCUCCGUGCAAUUUGGGUUCAUCGGGGUCUGAGGUGCAAGUUGAAAGGAUGAGGGCAUUUGGACCCAAAGGGACUGCUCCGUUCCAAAAGGUUAAACCUUUCUUUCUUUUUCUCCUGAUGAAUGUCACAACUGAAGAGCAUCAAUCAGAGGAAGAAAUGUUAGAUAGUGGGUUGCUGGAGAUGAGGUGACACAAAUAUAGAUCAAGGGAGCCUACAGGGCAGUGAGGAAAAGCCCCAUGGAAAAUACAAGCAGGCCUUCUGCUCGGAGAACAAUGGAAUUUUUAUGAGGAGGUGCUAUCUGGGUGUUUAAAUCUCAGGAGAUAGUUUAGUUUCCUGGCUGCCUAAAACAUCAACUUUUCCUCCCCCAUGGGCCAGCAGGAUGGGCUUUUACAGAAUUACCAACUGGUCAACUUUUCUAGAGGGGUUGGGAAGGUACUACAGCGGAGGCAAUCCAAGCAAACUAGAGAUAUGAAUGAUUCGGACUUACAAGCAAAGGAGAGAAUGUUCUAGAAAAGUCCUUUAAAUAAGACAGUGAUUUAAAAAAUU